UUUUGCAGUGUUUGCCCUUUCCUAUUUUGGGGCUUGCUUGACUUGUUUAUUUAGCGGUGAUGUUGUCAAUUUAUCACGUAAUGGCCGUUGAGUCACUUAGAUGCUAACCGCGGAUCCGAUUUUAAGUCAUUCUGCUGGGUUAGCAACAAUUCAAAAGGUCUUGCAGUUCAACAUGGAUCAUUAGUUUUUCGGGUCCCCGGAGGCCUCUCGGAUACCCAACCGGUCUGGGCUGGAUUUUCUUUCCAGACGUGUCCCUUAAGCAAGGCUCUAGCGCGACCCGGGCCGCCACGGCCGCCCAGUCUAGAGACCUGGAGGCCGCGCUCCUCCUGGCGGAGGAGGAGGAGGAAGCAAAAUGGAGGCGGCCAGCGCCAGGGCCGGGCCGGGCUAGGCGGGGUUUCGGCACAGCCGCGGAGGAUCCCACCAGGUUCUAGCGCCAGGGGCGCUCCAGGACCGGGUGCAGACCCAGCGGCCCCCUCCCCGAGAAGCCUCCACCCACCCCAACGCCACCCGGGCCAGACCUUCCUUGUGGCUCUCUCUCUGGCGUCACCCAGUCCUAAGCGGAGCCACUCCGCAGCUCAGGGAACUGGAGCGAAAGCGGACGUGGGCCGGGUGCAGGAGGAAGCCAAGCCUCUCCCCGGGAUCGCAGGGGGAGAGAGGACUUGUAGAAAAACAUGUGCAAACUAGGCGCAAACACUGCGUCGCCAGGGCUGCGAUUUCUGAUACAAAAUAGUGUUCUCCUAGCAACAGAUAAAUUGACGGUCUGUUCUCCGGGUUACACACAUUUAUAUGUUGAUGGUGCAAUUUGGCAUGACCUUCCCAUAAGAAUUUUGAGUCCUGAGAAACUUGGCUAUCGCCUGUUUUGUUAUUUUACGGAAAACUCAGAAUACUAGGAUGUGACUCAAGUGAAUAUCUAGUUUUAAUCUUUAAUGAUAUUUCAUGGUGUAUGUGUACUUAUUUAAAUAUUUUUAUAAAAGUAACUAAAUAUUGAGGCCUUUAAAAUUCAAGGUAGUAGUUGAUUUUUGUUUUGUCUUGAUUUUCAUUAAUGUAUUCACUUUACAUCUCAGUAUUUUAUUUUUUAUUACUAGUUUUUAUUCAUUGAACUUCUGUAAUCUCAGUGAAUAAACCCUCAAAGCAGG